rnacentral:rRNA from 1 species
GAUGAACGCUAGCGGCAGGCCUAAUACAUGCAAGUCGAACGGUGUAGCAAUACACAGUGGCGCACGGGUGCGUAACACGUAUGCAACCUACCUUACAUUGGGGGAUAGCCUUUCGAAAGGGAGAUUAAUACCGCAUAAGACAGUAACUAGGCAUCUAGUAGCUGUUAAAGAUUUAUCGAUGUAAGCUGGGCAUGCGUCCAAUUAGUUAGUUGGCGAGGUAAUGGCUCACCAAGACGAUGAUUGGUAGGGGAACUGAGAGGUCAAUCCCCCACACUGGCACUGAGAUACGGGCCAGACUCCUACGGGAGGCAGCAGUAGGGAAUAUUGGGCAAUGGGCGCAAGCCUGAACCAGCCAUGCCGCGGGCAGGAAGAAGGCGUUAUGCGUUGUAAACUGCUUUUAUACAGGAAGAAACGACCCUUGCGAGGGGCAUUGACGGUACUGUAUGAAUAAGCACCGGCUAACUCCGUGCCAGCAGCCGCGGUAAUAC